rnacentral:rRNA from 1 species
GAUGAACGCUGUCUACAGGCUUAACACAUGCAAGUCGAGGGGAAACGACGGGGAAGCUUGCUUCCCCGGGCGUCGACCGGCGCACGGGUGAGUAACGCGUAUCCAACCUGCCUCUGACUGAGGGAUAACCCGUCGAAAGUCGGCCUAAUACCUCAUGGCAUCGUCUGCGGGCAUCCAACGACGAUUAAAGAUUUCAUCGGUCAGGGAUGGGGAUGCGUCUGAUUAGCUUGUUGGCGGGGUAACGGCCCACCAAGGCUACGAUCAGUAGGGGUUCUGAGAGGAAGGUCCCCCACAUUGGAACUGAGACACGGUCCAAACUCCUACGGGAGGCAGCAGUGAGGAAUAUUGGUCAAGGGGCGGGAGCCUGAACCAGCCAAGUAGCGUGCAGGAGGACGGCCCUAUGGGUUGUAAACUGCUUUUAUGCGGGGAUAAAGUGAGGGACGUGUCCUUCAUUGCAGGUACCGCAUGAAUAAGGACCGGCUAAUUCCGUG